CACGCAAGUCAUAAUUCAUCAAAUGGCUUUACGAAAGAUCUCAAAUCAUAAAAUGAGGAGCCAGUACUCAAAAUAACCUAUCAGGUUGUUACAAGAGCUUUUUCCUGGCACCAUGACUAUCACUGAAACAAGGGAGAAAUCUACUGAGAAAUUGGUGAAAAAACUUGACAGUCAAUUACAAAAUUAUAUUACAUCAAAUGAUUCAAAAAUAUAGGAUAUGAAUAAAAAGAGAUCUCUGGUGGAUAAACUUCUCUUGAAUUAUGAUGGAAUUUUGGGGAGUCCUCCAGCUGGUAUCAAUUGGCAAAAGGAUUUGGCAACAGAACAAGAUUGGGUGAACAAUAUUAUGGCACCAUGGCAAGGUUUCAGUUGAAUAAUUACAAUCAUAGGGUGGAGUUUCCAUACUUUGACGAAAUAGAUUCUCGCACUUGGUUGAGGAAGCGUGAAAGACUUCCUUUUUAAUCAUGUGACUGACCCACAACAAAGCUGGAGAUGGUUGUUCUUCACCUUAAUGAUAAGGCCGAAUCUUGAUUGUUCUCCUAUAAUUUGAGUAAAGGGACAAUCAGGUAGACUAAUUUUACUGAAGAACUAUGCACAAGAUUCAUUGAAUCUGAUAGCCACUUCAAUCUAAUGGAAAAAUUUAAAGAAUUGAGUAAAAGGGUAUAGUUACUGAAUACCUAGAGAAGUUCGAAGAUCUUAAGGCUUGGAUCUCUAUUAGAAAUCCCACCAUCCCUGAGGAUUUCUUCUUGGGAUACUUUAUUCAAGGGUUGAAGGAUGAGAUCAAGCAAUGCUGUCAAAAUGCUUGCUCCAUUUACCUUCAACCAGAUUGUUGAGAAAGCAAAGACAUUAAGAGGAAUUGUUAGAUACUGCGAGUAGAAAGAACAUGGUAACAUGGAGUAAAAAUAUUUUACAGGCUAAUAAUCAUCCAUACACUACUAGGAAUAGAAUUUGGGGGCAAGGCCAUAAGGAAAGAAAUUCCAGUUCAGCUCUUGCUGGUACUAAAUUGUGUGAGGCUAGAAAAACACAAUAGUUGUGAUAAUAAAUGUGGCGGCAAGUAUUUUCCAAGGCAUGAAUGUAAGACUAAGCAAAUCAAUGUUAUUUCUGCUUUAAUGGAGAAUACUGAAGAUGAGAAACAAGGAAUUAUUCUAGAGGAGGAGGGCUAUAAUGUUGAAUAUCAGGACGCAUGUGGUUAUGGAUGAAGCUAGCAGUUUAAAUACAUUAGAUGGUACUGAAGUUCCUAAUACCAUACAUUUGCAAGGAGAAGUUAGAAGGAAGACUUUGACUAUUUUACUAGACUCUGAUAGCACCCACAGUUUUCUUGACCUUGAGACAGAUAAAUAGAUAGGUUGCUAGUAAAACUGCACGUACGAGGGUAACAAUAGCUGAUGGAUACCACUUGAUGAGUCUACAUACAUGGCCUUAGUUCAGAUGGAAGAUACAAGGUAUAGAGUUUGAAGACCCAGUAAGGCUGGUUAUAUUGGGGGUUGUGAUAUAAUCAUUAGUGGAGAUUAGAUGAAAAUACAUAAUCCAAUCCUCUUGAACUUUGUGGCUUAUAAGGCCCAAGUGACACACAAAGGUAGGAGAGUGGAUCUUAAGGGGAUCUAUCAUCAGGUUUCACUGCAAUCUAUGUCUAGGAGUAGUGUGAAACAUCUGAUUAAGAAGAGCAAGAUAUUUUGGGCUCAUUUAUUCACUAUUUCAACAACUGGGUUAGAGGAAAAAGAAGUUGUACCAACCACCAUCAUUGCAAUUCUUGACCAAUUUGCAGACACUUUUAAUGAGCCAAAAGCACUCCCUCCACGAAGACAACAUGAUCACUUUAUCCAUUGAAACCUACAACAACGCAAGUAAGUAUCAGGCCUAUAGAUACAAUUUUUUCCAGAAAAAUAAAAUUGAGAAACAAGUCAAAAAUAAAAUAAAUAAUGGUGUCAUUCAACCUAGUCACUCUCCAUUCUCAUCGCCUGUGUUAUUAGUUAAGAAGAAGGAUGUGACGUAGAGGUUUUGUGUUGAUUAUAGAGAUCUCAAUAAGAUAGAAAUGAAGGAUAAAUUUCUACACCACUGGCGGAUGACCCAUUAGAUGAGCUAAGUGGGGCAACUAUAUUUUCCAAAGUAGACUUAAGAGCAGGCUACCAUCAGAUAAGGAUGAU
rnacentral:lncRNA from 1 species